AGCAGCGUGACAUAGUGGUUUGAGCAUUGGACUAUAACUCUGGAGAUCAGGGCUCGAUUCCCAGCUCGGCUA